AUGAAAGAAAAAUGCAUGACCGAUCUGCCUUCCAUGCAACCACAGGCCCACUGGAGAGGAGUCCCACAAGCUUCAGCAAAGGGGAAGGUUCCACCCUUGGCCGGUCAGAGCGCAGAGUGCUGGUUUGCCAUGGUAGGGCUCCACUUCAGAUGGGAACGCCAGCUCUCCUCUGCCCCACAGCACCUGCUGCUGACACAGCUCUUGGUUACAGGAGGGCAAAGGAGAGAGUACAGUGGGUCAGGGUUGACGCACAGCCCUAACCCAAUGGCAGCUCACUCCUACACUCGCCAAUCUGCGCCUCUUUCGCCUGGGACCUGUGGAAUGACACCUUGGGCGAGAGCUGCAAGAACAGACCUGCUAAGAGUGUGAGCGCUCCCUGCCCAGAGCAAAACCCAGACACCUAAGAACAGAAGACCGCCGGUGGGAGCGGUUAAGAGACAAAGGAGGCUAGAAAACAAACUGUCUCGACCAUAGGGAUUCAACCCAGCUUGAGGGGCACCGAGUACCUUACACUGGGUUGGAUCCAGGAACUGUGGAAAAUAAGGAAAAGUGGGCCCCUAAACUGGAGACACGUGCAGUCAGGUGUGUCUGUAAACACCACCAACCACCAGUGGAGUGGUGAAGAGAUACGGGGUAGGAUGGGAGGGCGGAGGAAGGGAGAGAAAAGGGGAGGUGAGGAGGAGGAAGGAGGGACGGGGAGGGGAAACAAGCAUGGGGAUGUGCGGGAGGUAAGGGAGGAGAGGGGAAGCAGGGGCCGUGCUGAGGGUGAGAGAGGUGAGGGGACUCUGGAGGCAUGAGAGGUGGUCUGGGGAGGAGACCGCACCUGGGUAUGCACAGGGAGAAGGGGCAGGGUUUGUUCAGGCAGGAGGAGGGAGGAGCCCAAGUCAGCUCACCCUCAACUCCUCUGGAAAAUGUGUGCUGGUGACAGGCAAAAAAGGUCUUUCAAGGGUGCAGGGCCCUGCUUUUAACAACUGGGAGACCCAGGCAAGGCCCUGAGAAGGGUCCAGGCAGGGACAGGGAGAAGGUCUGGUUGGAAGGAGGCUACUGGGCCUGGAAACUAGGACGGGAGGGACUAAGCGACUGUGGUGGGGCAAGGUGUUGGCAUGGGUGGUGAGACCACAGGUUCCCAGUGGCUUCUUGGGAGAUGCGAUCAGGAGCUGAUCAGUGAGCAGACGGCCUGAUCUCCUCCCUGGAACCUUCACAGAGCUUUUUCCGGGGUUCCAGAGUGGAAAUGGAGGGUCUCGUCAAAACUCAGUAUCAGCCCUGAAGGAAGUGCUCUCACUUGGCAAACUCCUUUUUUUUUUUUGGUUUUUUUGAGACAGGGUCUCACUAUGUAGUCGAGACUGACCUGGAACUCGCUAUGUAGCCCAGGCUGGUCUUGAACUCACAGCAAUCCUCCUGCCUCAGCCUCCUGAGUUCUGGGAUAACAGGUGUGUACCACCACGCCCGGCAGCAAACUCCUUUUGGUCUGAGUGUCAUUUCUUCUGCUCCUCAAAGCCCUACCUAGCACCUCAGCAGGACCUUGCACAGGCCCAUGAGGGCACCGAGGGGACUGGCUCCUCUGGGGACGGCUGUGCCUCUGGGCCGCAGAGAUGGUGGGGCUGUCCUGACCCAGCAGUUUCCCACACUAUCCCCCACUCUGUGGGCGACCUGUUCCCAGAAGUCACCCAUGCCUUCCACCCCACCCUUCCAAGUGACGAAAGAGGUCCAGAGCUCUGCAGGUGACAUACUGCUUUCCGCAGAAGUGGCGGCUGAACUCUGGCUCCCAGCCCUGAUAAAUCAGUCUGCUGACGCAGCUGCUGCCCCACAGUCAGUCUUACUCGUGUCAUAUCGGCUGCUGCCGGCACAGAGGUCCCAAGCCCGAACUUCAGGGCUGUAACCACAUCCCCUUGCGCCUUCAGUGAAACCAAGAAAUAGAGGAAACCUCUGCUGGUAGGUGACUAAAUGAAGCUGGCUCUGUGCUUCCAGCCUUGCACUGGAGCUGGAGUUCCUCUCUGAAGCAGCUCCGCUGGGGGCUCCACAUCUGUGCCCCAACGCCCUGAAACACUGCCCACAGGAAAGGACAGGCGUGGGGGACUGCACAACCCCCACCCUCGGUACGCCUCGAAUCUCCUCUCCAUGCUCCUGGGUCUGUCUGUGGGCUGUGGCCUGAGGAGACCCUCAGAGCGACUGAGGGGUCUGUCACUGUGCACCAAGCACAGACUCAAGACCCAAGGAAGAGCGACGUGCUCUCUCGGAGUUUUUAAGUGCACAUAUGCAAACUCCUGUGAAAAUGUCACAAGUCAAUGAUAGAUUAAAAUUUUUUCUUGCUGCUAGAGUUUGAACCCAAGGCUCAUGCUUGCUAGGCUAGAGCGCUGCAUUAAGCUAUUCCCCCAGCCCCUUAAACUUUGUAUUAUAAAAUAUUUCAGCUGGGCAUGGUAGCGCAUGUAGUUCUAUAAUUCUAGUACUCUGACAGGCAGGAGGAUUACAAGUUCACACCAAGCCCGGGCAACUUAGCUUAACAACAUGUGUCUUAAAAAAAUAAAAGGGGCUGGACAUGUGGCUCAGUUCCAUCCCCAAUAUCACAAAAAUGAAUGGAGGAACGAACAAACGAACACCUAUACCCAAGAAGCUAUCAAACAUGAGUGCGCUCACCACUCAGUUCUGUCAGCUUGAACACUGCAAUUUGUUCCAGGUUUAUUUUUAACAAAUAAAAAUGGUACAACUGCCCUGAGCCAACCCUGCCUGGUUCCAUUCCCUCCCCAGGGUAAUCAUUACAAGUCUCUUUCCCACAGUUAGGGUUUUAGUAUUGGGGAUUGACUAUGGUCUUUGCUGAGCUACAUCCCCAGCUCUUAAACUUUUUCUCAUUUUGAGACAGAGCCUAAGUCACUAAGCGGCCCAGGCUGGGCUAGAACUUGCAGUCCUCCUGCCUCAGCCUUCCAGAGUGCUAGAAUCAGAGGCAUGUGCCCAUCUAUUUGGUGUUUCUCUAUCCAGGAAGGCUUAUCCCUUUACCAGGUGUGUACGGAUUCAUAAGCAAUACACAGGCUGGCCGUGCAUGUUUUGCCUGUGUCCUGAAGUGUACUAAGCAUCUCUCACAGCCUUCUGCAGCUUGUCUGUUCACCCACGAUUACAACUGAACACAGCUCUAGUUCGUACAUUUUCACUGAGGCCCAGUAUUCACCACUGUCUAAACCGGCCACAUACCAGGCGUAUCUAUGUUCAGUAAAGAGACACCAAAAGAUUAAGAGUAUGCAGUCUAGAGCCGCCUUACCUGGCUUGUACCCUAGCUCUGCCAAUUAUGGGCUAUGUGACCCUGGGACAGUUACUCAACCUUUCUGUACCAAGUAUCUUGUCAGUAAAGUGAGAUGGAUAACAAAACAACACACCUUACUGGAAUUUUAUGAGACUAACAUGAAUAAACAUGUUCACAAUGGGGCUGUAAUUUGUAGAUCUCACUCACUGUAUUGCUUUUUUUUUGGUAACAGGGAUCAAACUCGGGACCUUGUGCUUGGGAGGCAGACAACAGAACCACUGAGCUAAACCCCUGGCCAUCACUGGGUUGAUUUCUAUAAAUUUUAUCAGUAAAAAGACUGACCAAAGUGAUUAGAUCCUUUUGUACCGUGGCAGGCUGAAGCCACUUGAUGGG
rnacentral:lncRNA from 1 species